UAAGGGCAGGAAGUAGGUAAGCAGACUUGGGAGUUGGGCUUUAACCUCCUUCUCCUUUACCGAAAAGGGAAAACUAUGCUAUACCAGCGAGUGGGGAACAAGAGUCAGAGAUAAGGUGAACAGAUCUCAGAGCAGGCUACGAGAGUAUAUUUAAUAUGUCUGGGCCUCUUCGGAAGGCAGUUCAAAGGGGAGCUAUCAAGGCUCAAGGAAAAGUCUCACCUCCGUCUAGUGCGACUAUUAGGGAAGUAGACGAACGAUCAGGCUUCCAUCUACCACUCUAAGGGUUGGAAGGUAUAUAAAAGGAC
rnacentral:lncRNA from 1 species